rnacentral:rRNA from 1 species
GGGAUCAUUACCGAGUGUGGCGCUCCGGCGCCUCCCUCCAACCCCAUGUCGAAACGACUCUGUUGCCUCGGGGGCGACCCGGCCUUCGGGCGUCGGGGCCCCCGGCGGACACCUUCAUAACUCUUGCAUCUCUUGCGUCUGAGUGAUACAUAUAAUCAAUCAAAACUUUCAACAACGGAUCUCUUGGUUCUGGCAUCGAUGAAGAACGCAGCGAAAUGCGAUAAGUAAUGUGAAUUGCAGAAUUCAGUGAAUCAUCGAAUCUUUGAACGCACAUUGCGCCCCCUGGCAUUCCGGGGGGCAUGCCUGUUCGAGCGUCAUUACACCACUCAAGCCUGGCUUGGUAUUGAGCGACCGCGGCCUGCCCGCGCGCUCCAAUGUCUCCGGCUGAGCCGUCCGUCUCUAAGCGUUGUGAAUAGCGAUCGCUUGCGAGGCCCGGGCGGUUCGACGCCGUUAAACCCCCCCCAUUUUCUAUGGUUGACCUCGGAUCAGGUAGGGAUACCCGCUGAACUUAAGCAUAUCAAUAAGCGGAGGAAAAGAAACCAACAGGGAUUGCCCUAGUAACGGCGAGUGAAGCGGCAACAGCUCAAAUUUGAAAUCUGGCGCAAGCCCGAGUUGUAAUUUGUAGAGGAUGCUUCUGGGCAGCGGCCGGUCUAAGUUCCUUGG